CAAGCCAAUGACUACUAAUUGCACCAGUGUUGAAAAUAAAAACAGAAAAACCAACCAAAUAGGCCUACAGACCAGCAUGCUUAAAACGAGCUAAUAAAACAUCCUUGUGGAUAUUGUUUCAGAUGACCACUUACAUGAGGACAAAACCAGCAGACAACAGAUUGAAUAUUUCUGGGAGCUGUAGGCUAAUCAUCCUGUGAAGUCACACCAUGGAUUUCCCAAUAUGCCUGGUCGAAAACGCAGACGGCGAGCUUCAUGUAGUUCCUGGUGCCAUCAAGUACCUGAUGGGACUGAACCAGCAUGUGGUAGUGGUGGCGGUGGUCGGGCUGUACCGUACCGGCAAGUCCUACCUCAUGAACAAGCUGUCUGGAAAGAGAAAAGGUUUUGCCCUGGGAGCCACUAUCCAAUCCAAGACUAAAGGAAUCUGGAUAUGGUGUGUGCCUCACCCUGAAAAGAGAGACCACACCCUGGUGCUGCUGGAUACAGAGGGGAUGGGAGAAGGUGGCCAUUUCAAAGCACUACGAUGACCUUCUCUGAGGCAUCCUCGUUCUUGAUGAGAAGAAGUGUGCAGCCCUUCUGGAGAAGCUGUCUGCUCAGAUGGCCAAGAAGAUUACAGAGGGGAUCUACGAGCUUUACUGCAAUCACCAUGAGAACAUGCUGGCACAGUACCGGGCCAAGCCCGACAAAGGAGUUGGGAAGAAGGAGGGAUCAGCUGUGCUGGAGCAGGAGAAGAAGGCUGUUGGAGAGGAGGACGAUCGCAGAAGCAAAGACGAGAAGUUGAAGUGUUACGCCCCUGAAAACAGGGGAGAAAUAAUCACGAGAGUGAUACGGUGUUGUAUUCUCAAUUCAACUUUUUUGUUCAACGAGAAAAGACCGCGAUUUUCCCCAGGAAUAUGGGUGGAGACCAGAGCAAUCGAUCUCCGGCUCAUAGAUUAAGAGCAUUUCGUAGAUCACAGAUUAACACUUUUAGGCACCACAAAAUAAAGUAAUCAAUAUAACGUUUACACAUUACUCUCACAAUUCGUACCCUUUGACAGAUUUGAACUUUAACACAAUUAUAUGAAUGUUAUCAAUCUCUAUCAACUAACACUGAAUGCAUCUUUUUAACCUUAGAUGUUUUAAGAUCCUCACAUACUAUGAACUUACUAAUACUUUUUAAUGUAUAACAGGCUAUGAAUAUUUCCUUUAACUUGUCACAGAAGCAGAUGGAAGAUGAAGGAGGAUUUGAAGCAACAGGAACGGGACUUCCACAGGGCCUUGGAGUGCAAGAUACAGGAGCAGAAGGAUCUGCUGGAGAAGGGCCACAAGGAGAAGGCUGACUUAAUGAGACAGGAGAUAGAGGAGUUCAAGAAUAGCAACAAACCUGAGAAGGAAGGAUGUGGUUGCCUUGAGUCUACAGUCAUGCCUGUUCUUUGAUUUGGAUUGGAUGCUGCCAACACUUUCUUUCAAUAUACGCUCAUGAAGGCUAAGAUGGUCCAGGAGGCGAAGGAGGAGCCACAGGAGUUGGAGCGAGCACUAGAUAGCAAGCUCCAUGAGCAGGAAAAGCUGAUGGCUAAUGGCUUCACAUAGAAAGAGGCAGCCAUGAAUGAGGAGAUACAGAGCCUGAGAGAGAAGGAGGAGGCCAAGCGCGAGGAGAAGGAAGAGCAGUCUCGUAACUUCAGAGCCAUAGCACAGGGUGUCAUGGAGAGUGUCAGCAAUGGCUUAGGUCACUACUUUAACUAUAAGAAAGCCUGUGAGCAACGCAAGGCGAUUGUGUUCAAGGAGAACAUGACACUCAAGCAAGACGGCCACACCCAAACUCAAAACAGGAGCAGAUGGCAACUCUAAAGACACAACUCUGCCCAAAGUCAACACAGGUACAACUGACAAAAGCCCUGGCUCAGAGGUCUAAAGGAUUCACCAGAGAUUGGUCAAUGGUCCAGAUCAGCAGCCACACCUUUCUCCAGUCUCCAGCCAUUUGCAUUGUGUGCCCCCCCCUGCUACUCUCUGAUCAUCAUAUAUGCAUAGUCACUUUAACCAUGCCUACAUGUACAUACUACCUCAAUAAGCCUGAUUAACCGGUGUCUGUAUAUAGCCUUGCUACUGUUAUUGUCAAAAUUGUGUUUUUACUGUUUUUAUUUCUUUACUUACCUACACACUUUUGUUGCACUAUUGUUUAGAGCCUUUAAGUAAGCAUUUCACUGUAAGGUCUACUACACCUGUUGUUUUUGGCGUACAUGACAAAUAAUCUUUGAUUUGAUAACUUUUCACAUUUUCUCUGAUAGGGUUAAGGAUAGGAUAAAGCUAAACUUGUUUUAAUAGAGAUAUUGAUCAAUGGGGAGAACUGAUGAGCUGAACACCACCAGCUGAAUCUCUACAUGGAAACAUAAGCCCAAGCAUUCACAUGAAAAAGAGACAUCCUGUCUUUCAGUCACCUCAUAUCAAUUUAAUCAAAUACAAACAUGAGUACAUCAGCAGCAGGACAACAAGAGGAACUGUAAUUACGGAAUGAUAUGUACACAUCUCUACUCAGGAUGACCUGUACCCAGAUCAGCUUUUGAUCCAAGAUGAGACAUGCAGUAAUGAUACUCCUAUAGGACUAAUGAUCUUCAUUAAUCUGCUGCUUGGACACACCACGCACAUCAAGACCUGAGGGGAAUGUCACAAAGGAGGAUCAAGGAGUUAUCCACCUUACUUUGACAAACAGAUCAGGAGUCACACACACACACAGUACAGCCACCUGUGAGCAUCAUACAACACCACACAGAAGCACUAGCCUGGGAACAAGACAGCUCCUGUAUUAACAACAUUGUUGCCAAUGACAAAACGUUGACAUAAGCAGAAAAACAGACUGGUAUCCAGGCUACAAAACACACCUAAUAAUAUCAUGAUCAAGUUAUUUCAAAUCCUAAGGCAGUCAUUCAGAUAAUGUAAAUCAGUAUUGCUGUAUGAAUCAGCAUGGAACUCACAUUUUUACUGCUAACAAUGAUAACAAAUAUUGUUCUUUACUGUACAGAGGGCAUUAAAUGAGGACACGAAUAGGGAUAGUAUAAUUAUUCAAUCCAGUGAUCGACUACCUCUGUAAAUAGCACUAUAGCCUGAGAGCCAUUCUCCACCAGUAGAUAUGCAUUAGCCUAGGCCCAAGAUGUGUGGCUUCACUGAUUAUUAAAACAACAUGCUAGUACUUGUGAAAAAUGACAAUGGGUAAUUAGGUUUUAUAUCCCAAAUAUCAACAUGCAGACAGAUUGUUGUUUUACAAUCGUGGUUCUGUCUAAAAACAAAUCCAAAAGCAAAUCCAGUGCAUGAACUUAACUUGAACUAUAUUAUAUCCAUAAUAACCAUCAAUACAAUUUGAGAAUGAACUUUACACGUGUGGUGUAGUAGGCUACAUGAGAGAUGUCUAGCUUUGAGGCACCAGUAACACACAGCAAUAAAUAAACUCAUAACACAAAUACAUUUGACACACAGCCACUAACAUAUCACCAGUCUGUUAUACGUACGCAAUAGAAAAAUCUAAUAUUUUCAGACUUCAACCAUAUGUCAUUUGUAGAUAACAACAUAUUGUAAGUGUAUGCAUUGGACAAAAAGUGCUUAGCUAUGAUUUUGUUCUCUUAGAAAUCAAACCGUAACAAUUGAAGUGCAAAGAAACUAGAGAUGACACGUGGUGAAUAAUGUUUUGGUCCACCACCAAAGUCCAGAGAGUCGUAGGUGACAUUUCAAUAACUCUACAAUAGAGUAAAAAUAAAUCAUAAAAAGAUGAUUGGAAUUAACUUGUUCUUUAUGAUUUAUCAUUUCAAUUGGCAAGCCUAAUCAAGAACUUCAGUUAGCAAAUCAAUAUUAA